AUGCUCAGAGUCCUCACUCUCUCUCCCCUCCGCACGGUACUUCUGGCCCGGGACGUGGGAUGGUUCCGACCAGUCCUUCGGCCCCGCCGCCUUUCUCUGCCCGCCCCUCUGCCCCGGGCAGCGGGGACCCAGGAGAGUUCGCACGCGGAGGAGCCCGCCUCGCGGGGCUGGGGUGCGGGCGCCGACGUCUCAGGCACCCGCGCACGCUGUCGCGGACCCCAACCCCGGCCGGGACCCCCGCACCCCCACGCCCCCGGUGGGAACUCGCGGCCCCCCAGCCGGCGCCGAGAAGUCGGGGGGACGCGGCCGGAGGCCAGGGGCCGUGCGCGCAGGAGGCCGCGGCCGAGCCGAGAGUGCGGGGCCGGGGUCUCUCAGGGCUGUCCGUGGAAGCCGGCGGGGCCCGAGGGUCGCGGGGCCGGGAGACGCACAAACACGGAGCCUCAGCCUUUCACAGGCGCGCGCCACCGGGUUUCAGGGACGUUCCUGGGCCUGGAGUCUCCCGAGUCAGCAGGCGCGGACACCAGCGGCUCGCUCUCUCCAGCCCUUCCUCGUCCUCAAGGUCACCUUUUCUGUGGAAAUCUAACGGUUUCAGGGACGUUCUCCCUGGGACGUGGUCACACACACCUGGGGUGCACAUGCAGCUGGUGUUUGAUGGAGCUUAGAUUCGAUCAGGCAGGCAGGAAAGGCCACGGAGGCCCAUUUCACAGACGGGAAAGUGUGUCUGUGUGUUGGGAAGUGGGCUCAGGCCUGGCUGAGCAGGGUAACCCAAUGGACACCUGUACAGAGGCGUUCCUCUCCCGUGGUGCCCGGGUGGACCCGGGCAGGGAGACCCCCCGGGAACCCCAGGAUACAGAACAGGGAUGAAACUACAAAGACAGCAGAGGACACGCGGAGACAGCAGGACACACGCCAGGGGAGACCAGGUGGACACCCAGGAGGAGGCGACGGCCCCUGCCCGCCGAGGAGAGAACCCCUCCCUGGGACACCUUGCCCUUGGCCUCCGGAGCUGCGGAGGAAACAUUUGUGUUGCUGGAGCCGCCCUGGGUCGCAUCGCAGCCACCUCGUUCCAGGCCAUGGCUGUCUGCCCAGUGAGUGACAGAUCCUGCCGGGCGUCCUGGGGCAUGCAUUCGACGACAACGGAAGUCCGGGGAGUGUGCGAGCCGCCGAUGCGGCGUUCUGUGCUGGAUUCCUGCAGGUUGGCUGCUUCACGCCCGCUGUGCGCCUGUGAGGAAGUCGCCGUUCACCUGACGGUGGAGACGAGAAGCCCCAGAAAUGCCCUGGUUUGUGAGAGCCAGGCCGUUGGCGGCUGCCACGAUCCAGCACUCUCCUCGCACCCCCUCUUCCACUGCGCCUCACCCCCGCCCAGGUCCCCGGCUCCACCUGGGCUCUGCACCUGGCCCCAGCCCAGCCCCAUUGUUCCACACAGGGCCUCUCUGUCAUCACUGGAGGCCUGGCUGGGCGAGCCGGUUCCCGAAUCCACGCUCACUGUGACUUCCUUCUCCUACCCAGUUCUCUCUGCUUGAAACUCAAAGCCAUGGGGAGGGGGCCAAGAGGCUGGGGGCAGGCAGGAGGCUGGGGAGAGAGGCCCUCUCAGGGGCCUCUGUUCUGCGGGUGCUCAGGGCUCAGCGAAGCCUUCCCAGGCCGGGCGCCUCUCCCAGCCAGGGCUCGGAACGUGGCAGGUCCUGGGUGUGGGCCCAAGUGCCUCCUCUCUAGGUUCUGGCGGGGAAAGCCAGGCUGGGCAAGCUGGCGGAGGCCUCGGGAGCCCCAGGGCAGAGGGCGAGGAGGAGGUCCCCUUCAGACGUGCCCCGCGGGCAGCAGCCAGAUGCUCCUGUCACCUGUCCAGGGCAGCGCGAGGCCACGGUCC
rnacentral:lncRNA from 1 species